rnacentral:rRNA from 1 species
AUUGAACGCUGGCGGCAGGCCUAACACAUGCAAGUCGAGCGGAUGACGGGAGCUUGCUCCUUGAUUCAGCGGCGGACGGGUGAGUAAUGCCUAGGUAUCUGCCUGGUAGUGGGGGACAACGUUUCGAAAGGAACGCUAAUACCGCAUACGUCCUACGGGAGAAAGCAGGGGACCUUCGGGCCUUGCGCUAUCAGAUGAGCCUAGGUCGGAUUAGCUAGUUGGUGAGGUAAUGGCUCACCAAGGCGACGAUCCGUAACUGGUCUGAGAGGAUGAUCAGUCACACUGGAACUGAGACACGGUCCAGACUCCUACGGGAGGCAGCAGUGGGGAAUAUUGGACAAUGGGCGAAAGCCUGAUCCAGCCAUGCCGCGUGUGUGAAGAAGGUCUUCGGAUUGUAAAGCACUUUAAGUUGGGAGGAAGGGCAGUAAGCUAAUACCUUGCUGUUUUGACGUUACCGACAGAAUAAGCACCGGCUAACUCUGUGCCAGCCGCCGCGGUAA